rnacentral:lncRNA from 1 species
AAGAAAAGCAUGCAUUCUUCAGCACAUAAUUGUUCUUAGCUGUGUACUUAGUACAUGUGCAAAGAUACUGGUUAAAGUUUAUUCAUAAUAAAAUUGGAAACAUACUAACUAUAAUAUAAUAACAAUUACCUACACACAUAUGACAUGUAAUCACAAUCACAAAAGAUGACAGUUGUGGAUUUUCAUGGAAAGAUGUCAUAUAACAAUAUCAUAUAUAGUAUGAUGUCAGUUUUACAUAGUACCUGGCACAUAUUAGGUAUUCAAUAAUAUUUACUUAUUGAUGAGUAAAAACAGCAAAACCUUUAUUGUAUUAAAAAAAACAAAAGACAUUGUUUUUCGAACAUAAGGUUCCCUUGCUAUGACACCCUAGUUUUCUUUUCCAGAGAACAAGUUUUUGGUCUUUGUAUGUGUGUGUGUAUGUGUGUGUGUGUGUGCAUCUUAACUUCAGGAAAUUCACAAGUAAAGCGUUCCGUAUUUAUUCUCAUGCAGAAUAAAUUUUUAGGCACUAGUUUUAUCUAUAAUAUCUAGUUUGUUUGAUCUCCAGAAGUGGACAUAUUCUUUCUGUCUCUUUGCCAGUUUCCUUUCAUGAACUCAAUCCCAUUUAAAAAAACUUCUUGUUUCAUUGAUUUUUUUUGUGUUGUUUUUUAAUUUCAAUUUUAUUUAUUUCUGCUCUCAUCUUUAUUAUUAUUUUUUCUUCUAGUUUCCAAAAUUUCUCUUGUUAUUAAUUUCUAGUUUUAUUACAUUGUGGUCAGAGAAGAUAAUAUUAAUAUUAUUUUACUUUUUGAAUGUUUUAGGAACUUGUUUUGUCACCUAACAUAUGGUCUACCUUGCAAAUGAUAUAUGUGCUAAGGAAGAGUAUGUAUUCUGCAGCUGUUGGAUGAAAU